GAUUGCUGUAAAUACCAGGAGUACAGCUAAAAUCACAGACCGCGAUUGGCUUGUGGGAGCAGUAAGCAUGGGUAUGGGAGAAGUUUACUGGGUUGUGAUUUUUUCAUAAGCCUUGUAAACAUGUGAAUUCUUAAACUACAUAUAUGUAUUAGAAGUAAAAGCAGUAUAUAUAGAAAUGAAAUAAAUAAAACGAAGUGCUCCAUUUCAAGCCUCCCCAGAACAGAAGUUGUCGACUGUGAAAAUAGAAAGGAGUCUUUAUGAUCUCCUCUUUCAGGGCAAAGCGGCCAACAUUGACCUCCAUCCUGGGCUGGGGAUGAAGCGUGGCUACCGGGCGACAUGCAUAUUGCUUCACAUGCCACCUCUUGCCUCCCAUCUUAGGAAACUCAGCUGCUUGAUUUUUCACUCUCAGGAGAUGAGACAGCCGGUCUUGGGGGAAAGUGGAAACCGCAGCACACACGACACAUUUUUCAAAUGCUUGUGUUACCCAGAGCCCUCGAGAAUGAGAAAGGAAGCUGGCGGCUUGGCAGGUGUGGAGGCCCCUUCCCGCAGACAUCUGUCAGCGGCUGUGGAAGCCCAGCCCCCUCCUCUUUGCAGAGGAAGAGCCCUGGAUUCCUGGCAAGAGCAGGCAUCCGUUCCACCGGCAGGCUGCAGAACAGACAGAGUCCACCCAGUAGAGGCUCAGAAGACCAGAGGAGGUCCUCAAUCCCUGGGCCGUCUCUUCCUGAAAUGAGGAAAACAGUUGCUGACUGACUGCCUGCAGGGUUGUGAUGUUGACCAUCUUAGCUGCCCUUUUUCACACCUUCCCAAGCAAAGGCCUCUGAAAGUGUGCUGCCCAGAACUGGACCUGAUCCUGACCAGGGAAGGAAGACUAAUUGCAGAAACGCACACGCACGGAGGCACUUCCUGCUCCCGGAUGAGCCUCUGGGGCCGCGCGGAGAGAAAGGGACGGCAGGAAGCGCCGCGGCCUCGGCGGGAGCCGGGCGCAAGGUCCCCGGUUGACGCGUACUGGGAGGCCGCCGCUCUGCCAUCAUGGUCCUCGGCUGUAAAGCCAGGCUAGCAGGAGACAAGAGUCCUGGCGAUUUGC
rnacentral:lncRNA from 1 species